rnacentral:rRNA from 1 species
GGAAAGUUGAAAGAACUCUGAAGAGAGAGUUCAAUAGUACGUGAAACCAUAAUGAGUAAAACGGAUAACUGUACUGUUUUAGCGUUUUGCUUUUCAACAGUUUGUAGUGAUAUUCGACAGUGCGAGAAUUAGCUGUUUCUCAGCAAAAUUCGCGUAGGUAGAAUGUUGUCAUCAGCUGUGAUUUAGUGCAAUUCCUAUCAUUAAAAAGCUUUACGGUCCUGGCAGAGGUGUGCUGCAGUUCGCACUACGUGUGAAGUAACAUGCUGUGCUAUGUGGUUGUUGAGUUUGGCUGAGAUUACUUUAGUCCGAAAUGUUUAAAGCUUUUGUUACAUGUAUGUCUAGCAGACUUGUUUAUUCUGGUUUGUGGCGCUCAUGUGGUAAUUGUUUGCGUUUCAUGUUUAAUGAUCAAGUACUAGUUAUUCGACCCGUCUUGAAACACGGACCAAGGAGUUCAAAUGGCACGCGAGUCAUUGGGUGUAAAAAUCCAAAGGCGAAGUGAAAUGCGAGCGUAUUGUUAUUUGUGGUAUCCAUGAAAAAAUGAUAAGCUACUGAUGCUAUCAGGCAUUUGUAGACUACAAGCGUGUCGUUUGAGACCCGAAAGAUGGUGAUCUAUGCCUAGUCAAGAUGAAGCCAGAGGAAACUCUGGUGGAUGUCUGAAGUUUUUCUGACGUG